rnacentral:rRNA from 1 species
CCUACGGGGAGCUGCAGUGGGGAAUAUUGGACAAUGGGCGAAAGCCUGAUCCAGCCAUGCCGCGUGUGUGAAGAAGGCCUUCGGGUUGUAAAGCACUUUCAGUGGGGAAGAAAGCCUUGGGGCUAAUACCCUCGAGGAAGGACAUCACCCACAGAAGAAGCACCGGCUAACUCCGUGCCAGCAGCCGCGGUAAUACGGAGGGUGCGAGCGUUAAUCGGAAUUACUGGGCGUAAAGCGCGCGUAGGCGGUCUGAUAAGCCGGUUGUGAAAGCCCCGGGCUCAACCUGGGAACGGCAUCCGGAACUGUCAGGCUAGAGUGCAGGAGAGGAAGGUAGAAUUCCCGGUGUAGCGGUGAAAUGCGUAGAGAUCGGGAGGAAUACCAGUGGCGAAGGCGACCUUCUGGACUGACACUGACGCUGAGGUGCGAAAGCGUGGGUAGCAAACAGGAUUAGAUACCCCUGUAGUC